UGUAUGGGAACUGUUGAGUCAUGGCCUGAGCCACUGAUUGAGCACCUGGGGAAAGGACCCGGUCAGCCCUGGGAGCACAGGUGAAGGUAAUUCAGCUGUGUGACCCAAAGGGCUGCAGCCUGGCUGCACCUCUCUUAGACCUCAUUUAAAGGCUGACUGGGAAGGAUUUCUUUCUGCAGAUCUCUCCUUGGUGAAGCUUUCCCCUGCAAACCUAGAAUCUUCUGAUACAGCAGUAGUGAGGCCCUUCCUUGGCCAUGGCAAGCUGCUGCAGCCAGGAUACAGAUCCCAGGUUCCUGUAGCACCCUCCUGCUUCCAGCAGCACAAAUAGAGCCAGGAUGCAGCACCUUGCAAAGCAGCCUGUGAUCUCCUCCUCUCCAGAAACUGCUUCCUGCUGGCUUAUGCAAUGAGUUGUUUCCAUGAGCAUGGGUAUGUGUGCAAGGGAGAAGGAGAGUGAAAAGAAAUAUUUAGCGUGGCGUAUCAGUGGAUGAGCUGGGCCCAGGCUCCUGCUGCUGUUCCUGUAUGCUUUCUGUGGGCUUCAUCAGGGCAGGCAGUGAGCUCAUCCCAUCUGUGCCCUUUGUCACCACUGUCUCUCCUUCCUCCAGCAACCACCACUGUUCCACGGGGAAAGGUGGUAGUGAAGGCGUUCGUUCCCCGCUGAAGCUCAACACACCUUUUUGACACCAAAGGAUGGCCCUGAGCCGGGGAAGAGGUGGGCGAGUAGCGAGGAGGGGCUGCGCUUCCAGGCUGCGGUCUGCAGGCUGUCCAGGUGCCAGGGCCCAGCGUGCAGCUGCUUGGGCUGUGCGGGAGCAGCCGCAGCACAGGGCUGUCCCAUCCUGACUGCUUUGCUCUGUCUUGGGAAUUCCGUGGUCUGUGUGGCUGCCUUAAUGCCUAAGGAAGGAUAAGAGAUAAGAGGAACAGGAGGAGGCAGGACAGCGGAAUUUUACCUGUAAGCACAGCAGUGAAGACUCUGUACUGGCAGCGUGGCAGGCAGGAGGGCUCCAGGACCUAUAUGACAAUUCAGGGCAGCCUCUUUAAUUUAUUCAUUGUUUCAUUGCUUCUGGAAGUAAUGCAACGCAGUCAGCCCAUCCACCCACAUGAACACCAAAGCCUCUGUACCAGUGUCUCCUCUGCUCCUGGCCAGGAAAGGGAGAGGAGGGAGGAAGAGCUCCUGCCAACACCUUACAGACUAGAAGCAGCAGCGCAGUGCUACAAUCCCAGCGCACACCUGCUCUGCGUCAGACCCAGUGGGGCAGGAGCAAGGUGGGCACAGCACAUCUGAGCCGUGCUUCCCUACAGCCAAGAAGGAUUUCUUUUUAUUCCAGUGCAGCUGCAAGCCAGGGGAGCUGCUACAGUUCUGCAAAAUGAGGAGCCAAGCAUUGCAGCGCCUGUUCAGAUUUACUGACCCCAUCACUCACAUUCCCCACAGGGGCCAAUAAGGCUCUGCAGCCAUGCUCCAGCACUGAGUGCUGGCUGCGCAGUGAUUUACUGCGCUCUUCUCCCCGUGCCUUGUGCACCUUCAGAGUGCUGACAUGAGUGUGUUUGAUUGGGUUACUUAUUAAUUCUGUAUUUAUGAGGACAAUGAAAUUCCAGUCCCCAAAGCUGCGCGCUGCUUUUCUUCCCCUCUUAUCUUGUUUCUCUUGGCUCCUCUAAAAGGAAAAUCAGGAUUUGCUUUCGUUUGGAGAAAUGACAUUGGCAUCAGCCCUGUCUGAGAAGGCCUCUUUGUGCUGGAAAAUGAGUAAAUAAACCACUCGCUAUAGCUCUCCCAGGAGAGAUCAACACUGCUCUGUGCUGAACAUUGUACCUCUGGAUGGAGAUGGGGAAUACAAAUACCAAAGGGAUGUACUUGACCCAGACGUUCCAGAGUUUGUCUGCUCUGAUCAUCACUCAAUUCUACUUCACCUUCUCUGCUGUGACAAAAUUUCAGAACGUGAUUUAUCCAAGAAUUCAAGCACUGCUCAGCUGUGUUCCAAUCCCCUUGUGCAGUACAAGAGUUUAAUGAUUCCCAAAGGUAUGAGCUUGUCGCUUUGCUUUAACCAAAUGUCUAUGCACAACAAAAGAUAUGCAAGCAAUAUGUUUAAAAAAGGAAGCAGCAUUUUUCAGGUAAUUAUGGCAUUUUGUUUUCACUCUGUGGUGCACAGGACUCCUGAACAUGUGCUGGAGUUGUCCAGAAAGCCUUAUGUACUGCUGUGAAUUAUUCUGCUUAUUUUUGCAUUAUGGUAGCUGAGAGCUCAUUGUAAAUUCUCCUAUCCAUUUGUUAGUCAGAAAGAUCCCCAAAUCCUUUCCGUGCACAAUAUUUCACACCACAGCCUCUUAGAACUGUGAAUUGCAAAUUCAUUUGUAUAUUUAUGCUCAUAGAUAAAUAGAAAUUCAUAUUUAUAUAUUACACAAUUUGUGCUGCAACCAAAGAAACAAACCUUUGCAUAUGACACGCAAGUUGCAAUCUCAGCCUUUGAAAAUUGAAUAGGGCAUGAAUUUCAGAUAGCAUCCACAUCUGCAGAUUUCGAUUUGCUAUUUGCAUGUGUCCUGCCUAGAUUGCAAUUGAUAGUACACAUCAGAAGUAAAAUAGGUGGAUCCAAAGGGCCAAAAGUACGUGUUCUGGCAGUUCCUAUGCUUACAGAAAGCAAGUUUUAAAAACAGGAAAGCGAAAAUCUUCUUCACAACUGAAUGAAUAUUUAAUACUACCACUCCUGCCUACGUUACAGGCAGAUCCAGCUCUAAUUAAUCUUAUAUCCUGCCUCUUCAUGACAUCUUCCAACCAUACUUUGCACUACAUCUUACCCUGCUCAAAGAAUGGGUAUCUCCGUCACUUCAUGUAGAGUUCAAGAGCAAAAUUGGUGAUGGGAAAUCCUUUCCUCAUCUCUUGCUUCAGGGUUUAGGGAGAAAAGAGGGUGGCUGUUGGGGUUUCCCUCCCACUGUGGCAAGGCAGUUGAACUGCAGGCAGCCUGCCCAUCCCACUGGACAUGCAAUGGGCCCCAGGUGUGCUGUGCAAAGCCUCUCCCUGUCUGCUUGUCCAGAACACCACAGUCUUCACAGAUCAAUUGAAAAAUAAAGAAAGGAUGAGGGCUCCUCCCAACUGGCCUGUCUGUGUAUGCUGAGGGGGUCUGCCUCUUCUCACCACUGUUGUUUAUUGUGCUCUGCUCCUCCUCUUUUUUUUUUUCCCCAUUCUUAAUACAACCAUGAGAAAUCCCGAAAUGAGAACAUUAGAAUAUU